GCCGGAGUGGUGGAAUUGGUAGACACGCAAGACUUAAAAUCUUGUGGCCUUCUUGGCCGUGCGGGUUCAAGUCCCGCCUCUGGUACCA
rnacentral:tRNA from 2 species